CAUGUUGAUGGUGAGAUGCUUUCUAUCAUUUGAAUUUUUAGAUUCAGUCAUUAAAAAAACCUCAUUAAAAUUCAAAAAUGUGUUUCAUUUGCAGUCUGCCUUGUACGUGGCACUGGAUGCCCCUUUUGAUUACACCAUAUUUGAUAUGCCCUCUUUAUGAAAACGGUGAUGCCUCCUUCAAAUGGAGAACUUUGAACUGGACAGGCUGCCAUUUCAGCGAAGUCAAGCCAGAAGGACUGUAUGGCAAGCGAUCUCAAAGUUUGUGCUUAUCAGUGCUCAGUAGACACAGGGACGAGGCUGCCGUAUCCAGACGUGCAGACCAUUGAAUGGGUGCAAUGCUGCAAAUGUAAAGGGUGGCGCCACACAGACUGUGCUGGUCUAUCCCAUCCUCAUUUGAGGGCUGAGAUAUUCUGUUGUGGAUGUGAUGCUAGCAACACCUGCAAUAGAACAAUUGAAUUGCUGGACGUGCAUGGCGUCCAGGGUCUGUUAUCCACAGAUGAAAUAAAGGUCAUCAUCAGAAUUUUGGAGAAGUGUGAGGGCUUCAGCUGCUAUCAGGCAGAAUGUGCUAUUGCCAGUGGAAUUAAAUUCACAAAUAAAGGCUGAAGACAUGUGA